AGCUCCAAUAGCGUAUAUUAAAGUUGUUGCAGUUAAAAAGCUCGUAGUUGGAUUUCGGGGCAGAGGAGAGUUGCCCGGGCCUUUGGGUCUGGCUUCGUCUCGCUGUUCUUACCUGUUGUGUAGCACCCUCGGGUGUUGCCCAGCUCGUUUACUGUGAAAAAAUUAGAGUGUUCAACGCAGGCAUUUGCCAUGAAUACAUUAGCAUGGAAUAAUAAAAUAGGACUUUGGUUUUAUUUUGUUGGUUUCUAGGGCCGAAGUAAUGAUUAAUAGGGACAGUUGGGGACAUUCGUAUUUCCGAGUCAGAGGUGAAAUUCUUAGAUUUCGGGAAGACGAACUUCUGCGAAAGCAUUUGUCAAGGAUGUUUUCAUUA
rnacentral:rRNA from 1 species